AGACAGUCAGUCAUUAGAGGAACAGAAUGAAGCUCAGUCCAUUAUCUGUGAUGCUUUUGCUAAUUUCACUUCCACUUGAAACACUUGCUGAAGGGAGUCCUAAGCCUUUGGUGUCCAUAAAACCAGAUAAAAAUGUGUUCACUUGUGAGAGAGUUAUUCUCAGAUGUGACAUACAGGGAGCAGAUGAUGUUAAGUGGACAUACAGCUGGUAUAAGAAUGGCAUUCUCUAUGCAAGUAAAGAUAAAAUCAACACAAUGCAGGAGGUCAGUAUCAGCUGUGUUAUAACAACUGACAGUGGUACCUAUACCUGUAGAGGACAUGGGAGAGACUCACAGAACUCCGCGAUCAGUGAUGCUGUUACACUGACUGUAUCAGAGACUCCGCUGCCAGUACUGAGUGUAUCUCCUCAGAGCUGGCUGACUGAAGGAGACUCAGUGACUCUAAGCUGUGAGGUUACAGACUCCUCCACAAACUGGACAUUCAGCUGGUACAGAGAUGUUCCCCAAAGACACAAGGAUGGCCAUAUUACCUACAGAGCGGUUCGUCUUCCAAACAACAGUAGACGAUCUGGAGGCAAAUACACUCUCAGUCCUGCUGCUCUUAAACACACAGGAGUUUAUUUGUGCAGAGGAGAAAGAAGAGAACCAGCCUUUCACACAUUUUACAGCAAUCUACAGCCACUAUUUAUCACUGGUGAAUCUCCUUCAGUCUCAAUGAUCAUCAAUCCCAACAGAACUCAACAUUUAACUACUAAUGACUUUCUUACACUGAGAUGUGAGGACCAGAGUAACUCUUCUGAAUGGAUAGUGAGACAAUACACACACAAAUGGGGACUGUCAGUUUGUUCGGAUUAUGGAUCAGUUACAGGAUCUACAUGUAACAUCAGCUCCCUCUCUACAUUCUACACUGGAGUUUACUGGUGUGAGUCUGAAUCUGAAGAAAACAGCAAUCCUGUCAACAUCACAGUCCAUGGCCUAUCGCGUGUAGAAGAUCAAUUUUCAGUGCUCAUGCUGAUCUGUAGUGUGGUGACGGCCUUUCCAUAUCUGCUGGUAACCAUCAUUCUGCUGGUCAUAUGUUACAGAGCUCGAGGGACCCAAGAGUGAUCCUCCUACAGAGGAGCAGCAUCAGUCUGAAGACAUGGAACAUGGGUUUGAUCUUCAUGGACUGGGGAGCUGUAGGUAGUAAGCUACAAGAUUAAUCCAGUAUCUUGAAGGGCCUGAUGUAACGUGGUGCCAACUUCUUGAACUCCACGUCGAAGGGCAGGUCUUUGGUUGCCAGCCAGACCCUUUGACCUUGGUGGAACGUGGGUGCUGCAUGUCUCUUACAGGCGCUCCUCUGAGCAGGGCCAUCUUUGGGCCAUCUUUGCUCUCUGCCAGGCCCUGUGGCACCUGGGCACCAUUUGUUUUGCAACCUGGACCCGUAACUCCCUCUCCUGUUUGGAAAACAUGGAAAACACGCCAGAAUCUGCGCCUCAGGAACUCCAAGGUUCAAGUCAAGUCAAGAAGCUUUUAUUGUCAUUUCAACCAUAUAUAGCUGUUGCAGUACACAGUGAAAUGAGUCCAGGACCAUGGUGCUACAUAAAUCAAAGACAGAGCAAAGGAUUUAACUCGCCCUGAUGAAAACAGAAUUGAGAGUGCAGUCAUAGAAGAAUGAGCAAAUUCCACGUAUGAAAAGAGGGAUUAUUUUCAGGAUUCAAUAAUAAUGCUGAUUUAUUGCUUGAUUGGUAUGUAGUUUAUAGUGCAGUAUCUUACAGUCAGCUUUGUUGUAAUAUUUUGAUGCAGUGUGUGAGAAUUGAGACUCUCAAAACAUUGUAUGUACCAUUACUGGUGUUCAUCACUGAGUAGCUUUAAGUUGUGUUUUUUGUAUUUUGUUUGGCUUUUCUUUUCAGCUGUAUGAACUUUAAUUGUAGGUGUGUAAAGAGAUGUUUUUUUUUAAUAAAUAUAAAUGCAUC